UGUCACCUGACGCCAGUCCGCGUGCCUGCUUCACCGCGAACGAACGACAAACUAAGGAUUUCCAGUGUGGUUGGUGACAUCUGAGGACGAUUCAGUCGACGUUGCUGAC